GUGGUGGUGGUGGUGGUGGUGGUGGUC
rnacentral:piRNA from 2 species